CUUGGUCAUUUAGAGGAAGUAAAAGUCGUAACAAGGUUUCCGUAGGUGAACCUGCGGAAGGAUCAUUACAGAGUUCCUGCCCUCACGGGUAGAUCUCCCACCCUUGAAUACCUUACCUUUGUUACUUUGGCAGGCUGCUGUUUGGCGUUGGCUUCGGCUGACUGUGCCUGCCAGAGAACCCAAACUCGUUUGUUUAGUGAUGUCUGAGUACUAUAUAAAUAGUUAAAACUUUCAACAACGGAUCUCUUGGUUCUGGCAUCGAUGAAGAACGCAGCGAAAUGCGAUAAGUAAUGUGAAUUGCAGAAUUCAGUGAAUCAUCGAAUCUUUGAACGCACAUUGCGCCCUUUGGUAUUCCGAGGGGCAUGCCUGUUCGAGCGUCAUUACACCCCUCAAGCAUUGCUUGGCGUUGGGCUCCGCUGCUCACGCGGCGGGCCUUAAAAUCAGUGGCGGUGCCGUCGGGCCCUGAGCGCAGUAAAUAUCCUCGCUACAGGGACCCGGUGGACGCUGGCCAUCAACCCCCAACUUUCUAAGUUUGACCUCGGAUCAGGUAGGGAUACCCGCUGAACUUAAGCAUAUCAAUAAGCGGAGGAA
rnacentral:sRNA from 1 species